ACUACAGAAGAACAAUCAGAGAGAUUCACAUUGCUGGAUCUGAUGACGGAGGAAGGAGGCCAGAAGCCAAGGAAUGGGUGGUCUCCAGAAGCCAGAAAAGAUCCCUGCUGAUUUCUUCUCUCCUCUGCUGGCUAAACUAAAAGGAUAUAGAUUACUUCAGAAGCUGUUGCCUACAAAAAAAAAUUAAAGAGUUGGCCAUGGAAUAAAGCCCACAAAUGGGCCCUUUUAUGCUGGGCGGUAAGAAAGGAGAGUCAAAGAGAAAUGGCAACUAACCUGAAAAAGGCAACUCCACAGAGAAAAUUGAGAAUGUUAUGUUUCCUUGAUCAGAAAUGGAACCGUGCUUUCAAGACUUUGAAGAGGAUUUGAGAAGCAUGGAGCCCAUUACAGCCUGAGUCAUCUCUCUACCUCUCACAGCAAAAUUACCAUCCUGCUUUUAAAGAUGCUUAAAGAGAAUGAUUUCAAAAUCUCUUCUAAUAAACCUUCUCUAAUGAUCAGUAGAAUUCACUGCCUAGAAAUGUCCUGAUGACAUCCAGAGCUCUCCUACUCCAUAUGUGGUUUGUUUCUUUUAACCCAGGGGACAGCUGAACAGGCGUUUUGAGUGACAAAAAAAACGGCUCUUGAAGGCCAAUGUUGAUUUUGCCUUUUAUCGUAUUUCCUUUGACCCUGCACUGUUGCAGUCCUCUGGGACAACCUCAAGUAUUUUGUUUCUCUACUCAAAUCCAUCAGUUUCCGAAAUUCUUGAUUUAUUAAAUAGCACUCAGUGAUCUGUUCUCUUAAAUACAGUAUUUCCUGUUAUAAGUCCCUGCUUACUUUUAGUCUCCUUUGCAUACACGAUAUCUUCCUAAAGUGCUUCUUCUUGAGUGUGACCCCUGUGCUCUUCUAACAUAAAUCUUUCUGCCUGAUUCUAAUCACAUUUUCAUGAGUUACAUCAUCUUCAGUUCAUCCGAGUGAUUUUGAAUCCCAAUUCUGUCGUCUAUCAGGCUACCUACCAUCUCCUCAUCCCUACUCCCCAAAUCAUCAAAAUCAUCAAAAACCUAAUAAAUGUGUUUCUUUCCAUCUUUCAGGUAAACAUGUUACAACUUUCAAAAGUUCUGAAAUUAUAAUCCCUAAAAUUUGAUUUAUCACCCACACAUAACUCAAGGUGUCAAGACUCACAGAUAACAGAUACAAAUACAGUAUUUGUUACCAGAAGCACUUACAGUGUAGAGAGAGAUUACACUGCUUUGCUAUUUAAACUACACCCUCUGCUUUAGCUGCAGGUUUCUCCCUUUCAGCAGUAUUUACCAGAGUAAUCCUCAUCCAGUUUCAUUACAUCCUCGUUAGUACUUGUCUGUUAUCUCCUCACUGCCAAAUCAAAAGUAAAGGUUCUUUUUGUUUUAUGAUCCCUGUGGGCAAAUGUCAUUCUUGGCUGAACACAUCGAGUGCCCAUAGGUUCUAAUAGUUGAAGUGAGUAAAGCACCUGCCAUCCAUCAAGGUUUAUGAUGUGGUUACCAUAGCUACCAAAACCCCAUGCAUUCCAGAUCACAUGGGAUCUGC
ensembl:lncRNA